CAGUCGAACGUGAAAGUCCUUCGGGACGAGUAAAGUGGCGCACGGGUGAGUAACGCGUGGAUAAUCUACCCUUAAGAUGGGGAUAACGGCUGGAAACGGUCGCUAAUACCGAAUACGCUCCCGAUUUUAUCGUUGGGGGGAAAGAUGGCCUCUGCUUGCAAGCUAUCGCUUAAGGAUGAGUCCGCGUCCCAUUAGCUAGUUGGCGGGGUAACGGCCCACCAAGGCAACGAUGGGUAGCCGGUCUGAGAGGAUGACCGGCCACACUGGAACUGGAACACGGUCCAGACUCCUACGGGAGGCAGCAGUGGGGAAUAUUGCGCAAUGGGCGAAAGCCUGACGCAGCGACGCCGCGUGAGGGAUGAAGGUUCUCGGAUCGUAAACCUCUGUCAGGGGGGAAGAAACCCCCUCGUGUGAAUAAUGCGAGGGCUUGACGGUACCCCCAAAGGAAGCACCGGCUAACUCCGUGCCAGCAGCCGCGGUAAUACGGAGGGUGCAAGCGUUAAUCGGAAUCACUGGGCGUAAAGCGCACGUAGGCGGCUUGGUAAGUCAGGGGUGAAAUCCCACAGCCCAACUGUGGAACUGCCUUUGAUACUGCCAGGCUUGAGUACCGGAG
rnacentral:rRNA from 1 species